AGGAGACAGUCAAGGUAAAUAAACAUCAAGUUUCAAAUGACAAAAGCAGAUCCUGAAAGAGAAAUUAAACUUUUCAGCAAUGGUGCAAUCAGAUGAAAGCAAAAGCAAUGCUGGCUAAGAAACAAAAAGAAAAAAAUAUUCCAGAAUUCAGGGUGAAUACUAUUGUAUGCCAGCCUCGUUUUGUAGGAAAUAUAAAAACCAAGAACAGCAUUGACAUAAAAUUGUCACCUUUAGAUCAAGCAUUAAUAGAUUGGGACAAUAUUCCAGAAGAGAUUAUGAAAUUGGAAAGAAAAGUGACUUCUACAAAAAUUCUGUAGGAACAAGUUCCAUGUCACAAGUGCAAGUAUGCAAUCAGAGGCAAGAAAAUUGUAGUAUGCAUGAUGACUUGGAAGAUGGUGAAAAUGUCCUGUCCCCAAUCCCUCUUGCCAGUUUAAAGGUGCCAUUUAAUCUUAUCUUGAGCGUAAUAUAGUGAAGGCUGGCUUUCGCAACCGACACCAUUUCAGUGAAUGCAUAUACAAAGGUUCAAGGACUAGAUACUAAAGGCAUGCCCAAACUUGAAGAGAGAAGACAACGUCUUACCAAAUAUCUGUAUUCAUUCACUAGACUGUCAACUAAUAGCUAUGGGAAGAAGAGAGAAAUAGAUCUUACAUGCUGUUCCUUACAGCUACUAGAUGAUAAUUAGAUAGUCACAUGGAAGCUAAAUAUUAUAAGUAUUCUUAUAAAGGUCUUAAAUUUAUUUGUGCAUAUAUUUGAGGGUAAAGAUACAACAAAAAACAAAGGUGGAAUAUAGUUAUUGCAAAACCUAGAAGAAAUAAUGAUUUGCAAGUGGCUGUGUUAACGUUAAAAGCUUAACCAGCUUGGUUUUCAGUGAAGCAAGUAAAAUACCAGACAUGGGAUUUAAACCUCAAAUAAUAUAUUUUAUUAAAUGUGUAUCCAGUCUGGCUGAUAUUCAUGAUUUCUGCAAGCUGGAAAGAUCCUAUCUACUUGCAUGAUCUUAUUUUAAAGAUCUUACUAUUUGAAUAUGUUGAUACAUGAGAUCUAAUUGUUCUAAAUACAGUUAAUCAAAAUGUAAUUGUCUCCACUAAAAAAGAGAGAAAAGUCUCUUAUCCAAGUCUUUCUAGACUGAAUAUCUAGAAUAUCUUUCAAAUCAGCACUUUUGUUCAUCUGUAGAAAAGUGAUUGCUGAUGACUUACCAAAAGGCCUGAAAAUUCAAGUCUCCGUACAGCAGCAAGAGAAGAGAAUGAGUGAGCGGUAGUGGACUGUCAAACAGGUAGAGCACCAAUUCUGAUUGCUACUGGUUUAGCAUCCUGACAUCUUGCUAUUUAUGACAGCGGGGCAUUAUCAAACUUUGUGU
rnacentral:lncRNA from 1 species